rnacentral:rRNA from 1 species
UGAACGCUGGCGGCAGGCCUACACAUGCAAGUCGAACGGUAACAUUUCUAGCUUGCUAGAAGAUGACGAGUGGCGGACGGGUGAGUAAUGCUUGGGAACUUGCCUUUGCGAGGGGGAUAACAGUUGGAAACGACUGCUAAUACCGCAUAAUGUCUACGGACCAAACGGGGCUUCGGCUCCGGCGCAAAGAGAGGCCCAAGUGAGAUUAGCUAGUUGGUAAGGUAACGGCUUACCAAGGCGACGAUCUCUAGCUGUUCUGAGAGGAAGAUCAGCCACACUGGGACUGAGACACGGCCCAGACUCCUACGGGAGGCAGCAGUGGGGAAUAUUGCACAAUGGGGGAAACCCUGAUGCAGCCAUGCCGCGUGUGUGAAGAAGGCCUUCGGGUUGUAAAGCACUUUCAGUUGUGAGGAAAAGUUAGUAGUUAAUACCUGCUAGCCGUGACGUUAACAACAGAAGAAGCACCGGCUAACUCCGUGCCAGCAGCCGCGGUAAUACGGAGGGUGCGAGCGUUAAUCGGAAUUACUGCGCGUAUAGCGCACGCAGGCGGUU